rnacentral:rRNA from 1 species
CCUACGGGAGGCAGCAGUGGGGAAUAUUGCACAAUGGGGGAAACCCUGAUGCAGCGACGCCGCGUGAGUGAAGAAGUAUUUCGGUAUGUAAAGCUCUAUCAGCAGGGAAGAAAAUGACGGUACUUGAUUAAGAAGCCCCGGCUAACUACGUGCCAGCAGCCGCGGCAAUACGUAGGGGGCAAGCGUUAUCCGGAUUUACUGGGUGUAAAGGGAGCGUAGACGGCAGCGCAAGUCUGAAGUGAAAUGCCGGGGCUUAACCCCGGAACUGCUUUGGAAACUGUGCAGCUAGAGUGCAGGAGAGGUAAGUGGAAUUCCUAGUGUAGCGGUGAAAUGCGUAGAUAUUAGGAGGAACACCAGUGGCGAAGGCGGCUUACUGGACUGUAACUGACGUUGAGGCUCGAAAGCGUGGGGAGCAAACAGGAUUAGAUACCCGUGUAGUC